UAGCUCAGGGGUAGAGCGCAUGCUUAGCAUGCAUGAAGUCCUGGAUUCAAUCCCCAG
rnacentral:tRNA from 1 species